rnacentral:lncRNA from 1 species
CUAAGAAAACUGUCAUAACAAUUCGGACCCGGAGCAAUCAAGAAUUCAGAAUACCUCCGCGAAUUCAAUAACUACGGUGCAAGAAACAAUUGAAUUAAGUCGGACUACAAGAAUCAAUCAACUGCAACACCCCGUUCUCCGAAGAAAAGAACUAGACCUUACUAAGUAUGCAUAACUUACAAAAUUGCUCGAGAAUUUCAAAAUUCGAACCCAGAGUAGAGAAGUGCAGAGUUCAGGACUUACUGGAGUUGGAGAGUGGAGAGAGAUAGGGAGAGAACUGUCGUUACCGGUGCAAUUUAGAACCCUAGAAAGAUAAAGUUGUGCCCAAUUUGUGCAUAUUAUCUGAGAGAGAGAGAGAGGGCCGCCGCCAUUAAAAUCGGAGUAUUUCAGUGCUAGGGAGGCGACUACCGGUGGAAGUGGUGGCGGUGGCGACAAACGACCUAGGGUUCUGGAUUUGGGG